GUUCAUGGGGUCACAAAGAGUCGGACACUACUGAGUGACUGAACUAAAUUGAACUGAUACUAAAAUUGGAAUGAUACAGAGAAGAUUAGUCUGGCCCUUGCACAAGGAUGGCAUGCAAAUUCACGAAGUGCUCCUUACUGUU
ensembl:snRNA U6 U6 spliceosomal RNA